CAAUAGCGUAUAUUAAAGUUGUUGCGGUAAAAAAGCUCGUAGUUGGAUUUCUACCGAAGAUAGCCGGUCGGGUCUUCGACCUUGUAUCUGGUUUUGUCUUUGGUAUCCUCAUAGGGAACGUUUCUGCGCUUUAUUGCGUGGUGCGGUAUCUAUGACUUUUACUUUGAGGAAAUUAGAGUGUUCACGGCAGGCAAACGCCUUGAAUAUAUUAGCAUGGAAUAAUAACAUAGGAUCUUCGUCCUAUUUUGUUGGUUUCUAGGGCUAAGAUAAUGAUUAAUAGGGAUAAUUGGGGGCAUCUGUAUCAACGCGUCAGAGGUGGAAUUCUUGGAUUGCGUUGCGACAAACUACUGCGAAAGCAUUUGCCAAGGAUGUUCUCAUUGA
rnacentral:rRNA from 1 species